rnacentral:rRNA from 1 species
GGAGGGGUGCAAGCGUUGUUCGGAAUUAUUGGGCGUAAAGAGCGUGUAGGGCGGUUCGGUAAGUCAGAUGUGAAAGCCCUGGGCUCAACCCAGGAAGUGCAUUUGAAACUACCGGACUUGAGUACGGGAGAGGAGGGGGGAAUUCCCGGUGUAGAGGUGAAAUUCGUAGAUAUCGGGAGGAAUACCAGUGGCGAAGGCGCCCCUCUGGACCGAUACUGACGCUGAGACGCGAAAGCGUGGGGAGCAAGCAGGAUUAGAUACCCUGGUAGUCCACGCCGUAAACGAUGAGCACUAGGUGUAGCGGGUAUUGACCCCUGCUGUGCCGUAGCUAACGCAUUAAGUGCUCCGCCUGGGGACUACGGUCGCAAGACUA